UCAUCAUACAGAGCUCCCUGCACUAUACAUACAGAGCUCCAUCAUACAGAGCUCCCUGCACUAUACAUACAGAGCUCCAUCAUACAGAGCUCCCUGCACUAUACAUACAGAGCUCCAUUAUACAAAGCUCCCUGCAAUAUACAUACAGAGCUCCAUCAUACAGAGCUCCCUACACUAUACAUACAAAGCUCCAUCAUACAGAGCUCCCUGCACUAACAUACAGAGCUCCAUCAUACAGAGCUCCCUCCACUAUACAUACAGAAGCUCCCUCAUACGGAUCUCCUUGCACUAUACAUGGGCUCCCUCAUACCGAGCUUCUGGAGCUUACUGUCAAAUAUUCCCCUAGAACAGACUGUUGUUGAUCUAGUUUAAAUGAUUCCCAUUUAAAAGACAUUACAUCCAAACACAGCCCUGCAAUCAAAUGCAAAUAUUACAUACAAACAUACCCGUGUAUUAAAACACUAAAAUUAUAUAAAAAGAUCCCUUCAUUUAAACUCCAAUACUACACACAGGCAUACCUGCAUUUGAAAGUCAACACUACGUACAAACAGACCCCUGCAUUUAACACAAACACUACACACAAGUACACCACUGCAAUGCAAUGGCAACAGUACAUACAAAUACAGCGCUACAUGCACACAUAUACCCUAUGCAAAAGCAUGCUUACAAAUACAAACCCUGCAAGGAUGGGGAAAUUGUAGAUUCCUAGCUGGUAUAGCAUCAUUGGAGAUGUACGACAAAUUGGGAUCUACCUUUUAACCACUCUUGCACAAGAAGUGGGCCCAAAACUUCCCUUCACCAGGACACUCUCUAAAUGAGUUAUGCCACUGCAAAUAGGGUUAUGCACUAAAGUACCAAUAGCCCCGUACCCAAUGGGGCAAAACCAUUUGCUGCUGUACAGGACCAUUCAGACUUCAAAAUUCAGACAUUGUUCAUGCAAUUUGGAAACAGGCCUGAAUUAUGUGCGGAUUUCAGCCAGUUGAAAUGUCACCGGAUGGCUCAAAUCUGGAG